rnacentral:rRNA from 1 species
AGAGUUUGAUCUCGCGUCAGGAUGAAGCUAGCAGAGGCCUACACAUGCAAGCCGAGGGGUAGAGUUAGCUUGCUAACUGAGACCGGCGCACGGGUGCGUAACGCGUAUGCAACUUGCCUAACUGAAAAGGAUAGCCUUCGAAAGGAGGAUUAAUACUUUAUAAUAAAGAUUAUGGUCAUCAUAAUUUUUUUGUAAAGAUUUAUCGCAGUAGGAUAGGCAUGCGUAAGAUUAGUUAGUUGGUGAGGUAACGGCUCACCAAGACGAUGAUCUUUAGGGGGCCUGAGAGGGUGAACCCCCACACUGGUACUGAGACACGGACCAGACUCCUACGGGAGGCAGCAGCGAGGAAUAUUGGACAAUGGGUGGAAGCCUGAUCCAGCCAUCCCGCGUGUAGGAUGACGGCCUUAUGGGUUGUAAACUACUUUUAUCUGGGGAUAAACCUACUCACGUGUGAGUAGCUGAAGGUACCAGAAGAAUAAGCACCGGCUAACUCCGUG